GGAGUUUUGAAGUUUGAUAUAACUUUUUAUUUGUUUCUACCGACCUUUAACAAUUUGAUUUAUGACCCGUUGGAAUGAUUCUCCGGAGUUGAAAUCGUCAUUUAAAGUAAGCAGGACUUUCAAGCUCCAGAAGGUAAAUUCAUGCUUACACCCCUCGUUAAAGGAGAUUUUAUUUUUACCCACCACAUGGAUUAGAAAUUUUAAGCUGAAAUAUUAAGUGUGGACAGCUGCAGUUUCCUGGUCAAGUGUGUCCAGAUUCCUGCUGGUGCUACUCCAAUGAUGGCCUGCCGGUUCCUUUAAAUAUGUGCAUAAUCCACGUGUACUGGAAAUAUGGUGAUACCCUCUUUUAUUUUUAUACAACUUAGUUUACACCGGCCUGGCGAACAGUGUUCUGAAUUAUACAUAAAAUCAUUUACUUGUCAGUGGCGCCUAAGUAUAAUUUUAUUUAACACUAACGGCCCAUCCUCUAUUCUCAAGGGUGGACAUAAGAUUGUUUUUUAUAUUUUUACCUUUUAUUUUUUGUUGCUUUUUAAACACAGUACCAGAUUUUCUAUUUAUACCUACAAUACGAAUUUGUUCAUCGUUUAUUUUAUUUAUUUAAGUAACAUAUUUAAUCUUUAGGGAGAGAGAUUUUUUUCUAUUGCUAUGGCAUUUUGACGGAAGAUAUUUUAGGGCACUUUUUUGUACCUUGGUUUAUGUCACUUAAGUUUUAUUAAGGAUCCCAAAUCUUUUCUAGCAAUAAAUAUAGCCUUUGUUACGCAGGGUAAAUAUAGCUUUCCAAUGCUGAAAGAAUUUUUGAAAUGGGCACAGUAUUUUUGAGUUAAUUAAUUCUUUACAUACAAACACACUUAAAUACAUUUUUUUCCUCUUUAUAAUAGUAGUAUAGAUAGAUUUUUCAAAUGUUCUCUUUCCUAAGUGACCCAUGCUGAGUCUAGCUGGCAUAAUUUUUAGUUAUAGAAUAACACCUAUAACUAAAUUUAAAAACUGUAAAUCUAAAUUAAGAUCUAUAUUUGUAAUAACAAUAAGUAUAACCUACCAAUAUAUUUGGUUACUUGUAAUUAAAUAUAUAACCAAUAACUGCCUCCAUCUCCUUCCACCUCCUUUAUUUAAAAUAACAGUGGCACCACUGUAUGCAUUUUUUAUAUUAAAAUAAGGUGUUUGAAAAUCAAUGCUUAAUAUUAUUAUUGUAUUAAAAUUAUUCUAAGGAUUUAACAAGUACUGUUUUAAUAAUUGUGUCAAUUUGUAUAGGUGCUUCAAAUUAACUUUA